GACGAACGCUGGCGGCGUGCUUAACACAUGCAAGUCGAACGGAAAGGCCCUGCUUUUGUGGGGUGCUCGAGUGGCGAACGGGUGAGUAACACGUGAGUAACCUGCCCUUGACUUUGGGAUAACUUCAGGAAACUGGGGCUAAUACCGGAUAGGAGCUCCUGCUGCAUGGUGGGGGUUGGAAAGUUUCGGCGGUUGGGGAUGGACUCGCGGCUUAUCAGCUUGUUGGUGGGGUAGUGGCUUACCAAGGCUUUGACGGGUAGCCGGCCUGAGAGGGUGACCGCCCACAUUGGGACUGAGAUACGGCCCAGACUCCUACGGGAGGCAGCAGUGGGGAAUAUUGCACAAUGGGCGGAAGCCUGAUGCAGCAACGCCGCGUGCGGGAUGACGGCCUUCGGGUUGUAAACCGCUUUCGCCUGUGACGAAGCGUGAGUGACGGUAAUGGGUAAAGAAGCACCGGCUAACUACGUGC
rnacentral:rRNA from 1 species